UACGGGGGGGGCAAGCGUUGUUCGGAAUUACUGGGCGUAAAGGGCUCGUAGGCGGCCAACUAAGUCAGACGUGAAAUCCCCAGGCUCAACCUGGAACUGCGUCUGAUACUGGAUGGCUUGAAUCCGGGAGAGGGAUGCAGAAUUCCAGGUGUAGCGGUGAAAUGCGUAGAUAUCUGGAGGAAUACCGGUGGCGAAGGCGGCAUCCUGGACCGGCAUUGACGCUGAGGAGCGAA
rnacentral:rRNA from 1 species